AGAGCUCUUAAGCUUAACACCAAAAGAUUAACCCAUAAAAAUAAAUGAUACUGUUUAUAACACACUCAAGAGGAAUCUGGGGUCAAUGUGAUAAGGGGCACACAACUUGUGGCCUCCCUAUGAACAAAGUCCCUACAUGU
rnacentral:snoRNA from 1 species